rnacentral:rRNA from 1 species
AGAGUUUGAUCCUGGCUCAGGGUGAACGCUAGCGGUGCGCCUAACACAUGCAAGUCGAGCGAGAAUUUUUAGAUUGCUUGCAAUUUGAAAAGGAAAGCGGCGAACGGGUGAGGAAUAUGUUGAUACCUGCCCCCAAGUCAGGGAUAGCCCAGGGAAACCUGGAUUAUACCGGAUAGUCUCUUCGGAGUAAAAAUUUAUUGCUUGGGGAGGGGUCUUCAUUCUAUCAGCUUGUUGGUGAGGUAAUAGCUCACCAAGGCUAUGACGGAUAACUGGUCUGAGAGGAUGAUCAGUCACAAUGGAACUGAGACACGGUCCAUACUCCUACGGGAGGCAGCAGUGAGGAAUCUUCCACAAUGGACGAAAGUCUGAUGGAGCGACACCGCGUGAAGGAUGAAGGUCUAACGAUUGUAAACUUCUUUUCUGAAGGAGCAUAAUGAGAGUACUUCAGGAAUAAGGGACGGCUAAAUACGUGCCAGCAGCCGCGGUAAUACGUAUGUCCCAAGCGUUACCCGGAAUCACUGGGUGUAAAGGGUUCGUAGGCGGGGAAAUAAGUUGGAUAUGAAAGACCGAAGCUCAACUUCGUGUUUGUCUCCAAAACUGUUUUCCUAGAAUUAGGGAGAGGUAAGCGGAAUUCUAAGUGUAGGGGUGCAAUCCGUAGAUACUUAGAGGAACACAAAUCCCGUAGAUACUUAGAGGAACACCCAAAAGCGAAGGGCAGCUUACUGGAACUGUAUUGACGCUGAGAAAACGAAAGCGUGGGUAGCGAAAAGGAUUAGAUACCCUUGUAGUCCACGCCGUAAACUAUGAUGACUAGAUGUUGGGGUUUGCCCCCAGUGUCGUAGCUAACGCGUUAGGUCAUCCGCCUGUGAAGUACGGUCGCAAGAUUAAAACACAAAGGAAUAGACGGGGAACCACACAAGCAGUGGAUCACGUGGUUUAAUUCGACAAUAAACGGGGAACCUUACCUAGGCUUGACAUCUUCAGAAUCUUUAGGAAACUAGAGAGUGCCUUUAUUGGAACUGGAUGACAGGUGCUGCAUGGUUGUCGUCAGCUCGUGCCUUGAGGUGUUCGGUUAAGUCCGUUAACGAGCGCAACCCAUGUCGUUAGUUAUAAUGUCUAACGAGACUGCCCUAGUUAAUAGGGAGGAAGGUGUGGAUGACGUCAAAUCAGCAUGGCUUUUACGCCUAGGGCUACACACAUGAUACAAUGGUCUGUACAAAGUGCUGCAAUACUGAGAAGUGGAGCUAAUCACAAAAACAGAUCUAAGUCCGGAUUGGAGGCUGCAACUCGCCUCCAUGAAGUUGGAAUUGCUAGUAAUCGUGAAUCAGAUAUGUCACGGUGAAUAUGUUCCUGGUUCUUGUACUCACCGCCCGUCACGGCAUGGAAGGUAGAAAUAUCGGAAGAUCCUGAAGUAAUAUUGGGAUCCAUGGUAGGGCUACUGACUGGGCUGAAGUCGUAACAAGGUAGCCGUA